GUUUGAUCCUGGCUCAGGACGAACGCUGGCGGCGUGCCUAAUACAUGCAAGUCGAGCGAGCCGAACUAAUUGAUUACCUUCGGGUAUGAAGUUAGGGAAGCGAGCGGCGGAUGGGUGAGUAACACGUGGGUAACCUACCCUAUAGUCUGGGAUACCACUUGGAAACAGGUGCUAAUACCGGAUAAAAGGAGAGAUCACAUGAUUUCUUUUUGAAAGGCGGCGUAAGCUGUCGCUAAAGGAUGGACCCGCGGUGCAUUAGCUAGUUGGUAAGGUAACGGCUUACCAAGGCAACGAUGCAUAGCCGAGUUGAGAGACUGAUCGGCCACAUUGGGACUGAGACACGGCCCAAACUCCUACGGGCAGCAGCAGUAGGAAUUCUUCCACACAUGGAACGCAGUCUGAUGGAGCAACGCCGCGUGAGGAGAAGGUUUUCGAUCGUAAAGCUCUGUUGUUGGUGAAGAAAGAUAGUGAGAGUAACUGCUCAUUAUUUGCCGGUAAUCAACCAGAAAGUCACGGCUAACUACGUGCCAGCAGCCGCGGUAAUACGUAGGUGGCAAGCGUUGUCCGGGAUUUAUUGGGCGUAAAGCGAGCGCAGGCGGAAAGAUAAGUCAGAUGUGAAAGCCCUCGGCUUAACCGAGGAAUAGCAUCGGAAACUGCCUUUCUUGAGUGCAGAAGAGGAGAGUGGAACUCCAUGUGUAGCGGUGGAAUGCGUAGAUAUAUGGAAGAACACCAGUGGCGAAGGCGGCUCUCUGGUCUGUAACUGACGCUGAGGCUCGAAAGCAUGGGUAGCGAACAGGAUUAGAUACCCUGGUAGUCCGUGCUGUAAACGAUGAGUGCUAAGUGUUGGGAGGUUUCCGCCUCUCAGUGCUGCAGCUAACGCAUUAAGCACUCCGCCUGGGGAGUACGACCGCAAGGUCAAAACUCAAAGGAAUUGACGGGGGCCCGCACAAGCGGUGGAGCAUGUGGUUUAAUUCGAAGCAACGCGAAGAACCUUACCAGGUCUUGACAUCUAGUGCCAACCUAAGAGAUUAGGCGUUCCCUUCGGGGACACUAAGACAGGUGGUGCAUGGCUGUCGUCAGCUCGUGUCGUGAGAUGUUGGGUUAAGUCCCGCACGAGCGCAACCUAUUAUUAGCCUGCCAGCAUUAAGUUGGGCACCUCUAAUGAGACUGCCCGGUGACAAACCGGAGGAAGGUGGGGAUGACGUCAAGUCAUCAUGCCCCUUAUGACCUGGGCUACACACGUGCUACAAUGGGCAGUACAACGAGGAGCGAACUUGUGAAGGCAAGCGAAUCUCUGAAAGCUGUUCUCAGUUCGGACUGUAGGCUGCAACUCGCCUACACGAAGCUGGAAUCGCUAGUAAUCGCGGAUCAGCACGCCGCGGUGAAUACG
rnacentral:rRNA from 1 species